GCCCACCCACAAAGCUAAAUCUACCUACUAAAACACUUUAACCUUAAAUCAAAACAUUUAUAUUGGCCAGUAAAUGAGAUUAAACCCCAACCAAUUUAGCCUAUUAAGUACCGCAAGGGAAUAAUGAAAGAACAAUGAAAAAAUUUAAGCAAAAAACAGCAAAGAUUAACCCCUGUACCUUUUGCAUCAUGGUCUAGCAAACUUUCAGUAGACAAAGAGACCUUUAGCCUAUAAACCCGAAACCAAACGAGCUAUUUUUGAGCAGCUUUUAACUAGAGCACACCCAUCUCUGUAGCAAAAGAGCGGGAAGACUUAAAAAUAGAGGCAAAAAGCCAAUCGAGCUUGGUGAUAGCUGGUUACUCAUAAUAGAAUUUAAGUUCAACUUUAGGUAUUACUUGAGUCAAACCCCCCCCCUCACCAUAAUACCUAAAGAAACUUAAUGGGGGUACAGCCCCAUUAAACCGGGAUACAGCCCGAACUGAGAGCCAAACUCACAUUAAGCCCAAAGCCAGUAGGCCUCAAAGCAGCCACCACUAAAUGCGUUACAGCACUAAUUAAACAAUUUCUUAACCCAUUCAGCCCUCCAGACUCACCAAGAGUUAUUCUAUAAAAAUAGAAAUACUACUGCUAAAAUUAGUAAUAAGAAACAAUUAUUUCUCCUCGCACCCCUUUAAGUCAACAUAGAACAACUACUGAUCAUUAACAACUUAACCACUUACCUCUACCCACCAGAAGGAUGUAACCAAAAACUUGUUACUCCGACUCAGGAGUGCUAUAAGGAAAGACAAAAAAUCGAAAAAGGAACUCGGCAAACUAAAAAUCUCAACUGUUUACCAAAAACAUAGCCUUUAGCUUUACAAGUAUUAAAGGUUCCGCCUGCCCAGUGACUUCUUAAACGGCCGCGGUACCCUAACCGUGCAAAGGUAGCAUAAUCACUUGUCUUUUAAAUAAAGACUAGUAUGAAAGGCUAAAUGAGGGUUUAACUGUCUCUUACGAUUGGUCAAUGAAAUUGAUUUACCAGUACAAAAGCUGGUAUAAUUACAUAAGACGAGAAGACCCUGUGGAGCUUAAAAAUCAAAACACCACAAUGUCCACUGAAUUUUUAGUUGGGGCGACUUCGGAGUACAAAAAAACCUCCAAAAACUUCUUCACCUAAUAAGAAAUAUACUUCAAAUAGGUAAAAUAGACCCAUAAGUUACCUAUAAACACCUAUGACUAAUAAACCAAGUUACCCCAGGGAUAACAGCGCCAUCCCCUUCUAGAGUCCCUAUCGACAAGGGGGUUUACGACCUCGAUGUUGGAUCAGGACACCCAAAUAGUGCAGCCGCUAUUAAAGGUUUGUUUGUUCAACAAUUAAAGUCCUACGUGAUCUGAGUUCAGACCGGAGAAAUCCAGGUCAGUUUCUAUCUAUGAGGCAUUAUUUUUAGUACGAAAGGACCAAAAUAAUAGGACCCACACCAAUGACGCGUCCUAGCCUACUUAACCACUGAUCUUUUCUAAAGUGGAAUUUACGCCAUCUGGCAGUCACACUAGACUU
rnacentral:rRNA from 1 species